rnacentral:rRNA from 1 species
GAUGAACGCUGGCGGUGUGCCUAAUACAUGCAAGUCGAGCGAACAGACGAGGAGCUUGCUCCUCUGACGUUAGCGGCGGACGGGUGAGUAACACGUGGAUAACCUACCUAUAAGACUGGGAUAACUUCGGGAAACCGGAGCUAAUACCGGAUAAUAUAUUGAACCGCAUGGUUCAAUAGUGAAAGACGGUUUUGCUGUCACUUAUAGAUGGAUCCGCGCCGCGUUAGCUAGUUGGUAAGGUAACGGCUUACCAAGGCAACGAUGCGUAGCCGACCUGAGAGGGUGAUCGGCCACACUGGAACUGAGACACGGUCCAGACUCCUACGGGAGGCAGCAGUAGGGAAUCUUCCGCAAUGGGCGAAAGCCUGACGGAGCAACGCCGCGUGAGUGAUGAAGGUCUUCGGAUCGUAAAACUCUGUUAUUAGGGAAGAACAAAUGUGUAAGUAACUAUGCACGUCUUGACGGUACCUAAUCAGAAAGCCACGGCUAACUACGUG